rnacentral:ncRNA from 17 species
UUUGGUAUGUGGGAGUGGCGUAAACGUGGGCUGACCACGAGGACGCACAUAUUCAUACCGCCGUACGCCGGGGCAGAGGUA